GGGCUCCGGGCGGCCGUGACCCUGCUGGAGUGCGGGGGGGACCUCCAGCCCCCCGGGGGGUCCCUGCGCCUCCUCUGCCAAGGGGCCGGGUUCAGUUUUGGGGAUUAUGCAAUGCAGUGGAUCCGCCAGAGACCCGGGCAGGGGCUGGAAUGGGUCGCCUACAUCAGCAACAAUGGUGGCACCACCCACUACGCGCCGUCAGUCCAGGGCCAGUUCAGGAUCUCCAGGGACAACGGGCAGAGCUCGGUGACGCUGACCAUGAACAACCUCAAGGUCGAGGAUUCCGGAUCCUAUUUCUGUGCCAAACAAACUGUCGUCAAAACCAUCAGCAGUGCUACCAGCACCAGCAUCAAAACGUCUGGCGCAGAAAUAGGAUCCGGAAUCCUCAUCGUGAACCGGCCCUUGACCGAUGGCAUGUAG